CCUACGGGAGGCUGCAGUGGGGAAUAUUGGACAAUGGGGGGAACCCUGAUCCAGCCAUGCCGCGUGUGUGAAGAAGGCCCUCGGGUUGUAAAGCACUUUCAGUGAGGAAGAACGCCUGGUGGUUAAUACCCAUCAGGAAAGACAUCACUCACAGAAGAAGCACCGGCUAACUCCGGUGCCAGCAGCCGCGGUAAUACGGAGGGUGCGAGCGUUAAUCGGAAUUACUGGGCGUAAAGCGCGCGUAGGUGGCUUGAUAAGCCGGUUGUGAAAGCCCCGGGCUCAACCUGGGAACGGCAUCCGGAACUGUCAAGCUAGAGUGCAGGAGAGGAAGGUAGAAUUCCCGGUGUAGCGGUGAAAUGCGUAGAGAUCGGGAGGAAUACCAGUGGCGAAGGCGGCCUUCUGGACUGACACUGACACUGAGGUGCGAAAGCGUGGGUAGCAAACAGGAUUAGAGACCCUAGUAGUC
rnacentral:rRNA from 1 species